UACGUAGGUGCGAGCGUUGUCCGGAAUUACUGGGCGUAAAGAGCUCGUAGGUGGUUUGUCACGUCGUCUGUGAAAUUCCGGGGCUUAACCUCGGGCGUGCAGGCGAUACGGGCAAUACUUGAGUGCUGUAGGGGAGACUGGAAUUCCUGGUGUAGCGGUGGAAUGCGCAGAUAUCAGGAGGAACACCGAUGGCGAAGGCAGGUCUCUGGGCAGUAACUGACGCUGAGGAGCGAAAGCGUGGGGAGCGAACGGGGAUUAGAUACCCG
rnacentral:rRNA from 1 species